rnacentral:rRNA from 1 species
GAUGAACGCUGGCGGCGUGCCUAAUACAUACAAGUCGAGCGAACGGACGAGAAGCUUGCUUCUCUGAUGUUAGCGGCGGACGGGUGAGUAACACGUGGAUAACCUACCUAUAAGACUGGGUUAACUUCGGGAAACCGUAGCUAAUACCGGAUAAUAUUUUGAACCGCAUGGUUCAAAAGUGAAAGACGGUCUUGCUGUCACUUAUAGAUGGAUCCGCGCUGCAUUAGCUAGUUGGUAAGGUAACGGCUUACCAAGGCAACGAUGCAUAGCCGACCUGAGAGGGUGAUCGGCCACACUGGAACUGAGACACGGUCCAGACUCCUACGGGAGGCAGCAGUAGGGAAUCUUCCGCAAUGGGCGAAAGCCUGACGGAGCAACGCCGCGUGAGUGAUGAAGGUCUUCGGAUCGUAAAACUCUGUUAUUAGGGAAGAACAUAUGUGUAAGUAACUGUGCACAUCUUGACGGUACCGAAUCAGAAAGCCACGGCUAACUACGU